AUCUGAUUUAAAUGCAUUUCAUGUAGUCAAGAGACUACAGAUAAAUAAUAGAAGUAAAACCAGAUAAACAGAGUAGCACCUACACAUUAAAGACAGUGAUAUUUAUAUUAAAAUAAAGCAUUUUAACCUUUAAUGUUUUAGAAGUGUGUUUCUCCCACAAGAGGGCGACAUGGAGGAUUGCACUUUGCACACAUAUGUGUAAAUCAUCCACCAUACUGUAAUGUCCAAGGCAGUACAUAAACCAGUGUUGCAAAGUAUUUUCAUGUACACGGUGUGACUAUACAAAUCACAACACAUAAAUAGGAAAAUGUUUGCGUUAUUUUGUCACUUAUUGGGAGCAGUUUGCUAGCUGGAGCCAUUCACUUUCAGUCUUUGUGCUAAGCUAAGCUAGUGGGGGCUGCAUCAGACAGAGUUACAGCACGCACGGAGAUGAGAAAGGUAUGUAUGGACUUAUGUAACUCUGGGGUAUAUGGUGAAUAAGCUAAAGUACCAAAAUGUGGAUCUGUUCCUUUAAAGGUAGGUUGCCAGCUUCUUUUACCAGAGGGUGGAGCUCUGCAGUCUUUUGUAUUAAAGCAGCUGCAGUUAAAUUGAUGUCUUUUUUCAUAACAGAGUUGAGACUUUCAGCAUUCACUUCACCAACCAUGUUUAUUUUAGUAUUGAUUGUUUUUUCACUGUUUAAUGAGAGCGUUCGUGCAUAUACAAUAUCAUCCGUCUCAUCAGAGGUGCAUGUUUUAGCUGGAGAAAAUGCUGUUAUCUCUUGCAGUUACACAGGCAAUGGUCCCAGCUUUCAGUGGUAUCGCCAAUAUCCAAGAUCCAGACCACAAUACCUUAUAUUUCAUACAGAGAUCAAUGAGGCAUCUGAACCCACUUUACGUCUCAGAGCGAUCCCAAAUAAACAGUCCUCUCGUGUGGAUCUGGAGAUCUCAUCUGCUGCUGUAUCAGACUCUGCUGUGUAUUCCUGUGCCCUGGUGCCCACAGUGACAGGAAACACAACAACACUGUACAAAAACUUCUUUCAUCUGUUCACUUCACAAAAAAAUACAACAGUUUUCACUGACUUGAUUUUUGAUGCAACAUUUUUCAUAUUUGAAGAGAUCACCAAUUUUUAGAAUAUAAAAAGCACCGAAUAUAUACUGUAAAAGCCAAUAAAAAGGG